rnacentral:rRNA from 1 species
GAUGAACGCUGGCGGCGUGCCUAAUACAUGCAAGUCGAGCGAACAGACGAGGAGCUUGCUCCUCUGACGUUAGCGGCGGACGGGGGAGUAACACGUGGAUAACCUACCUAUAAGACUGGGAUAACUUCGGGAAACCGGAGCUAAUACCGGAUAAUAUAUUGAACCGCAUGGUUCAAUAGUGAAAGACGGUUUUGCUGCUACUUAUAGAUGGUUCCGCGCCGCAUUAGCUGGUUGGUAAGGUAACGGUUUACCAAGGCAACGAUGCGUAGCCGACCUGAGAGGGUGAUCGGCCACACUGGAACUGAGACACGGUCCAGACUCCUACGGGAGGCAGCAGUAGGGAAUCUUCCGCAAUGGGCGAAAGCCUGACGGAGCAACGCCGCGUGAGUGAUGAAGGUCUUCGGAUCGUAAAACUCUGUUAUUAGGGAAGAACAAAUGUGUAAGUAACUAUGCACGUCUUGACGGUACCUAAUCAGAAAGCCACGGCUAACUACGUG